UACGUAGGGGGCAAGCGUUAUCCGGAUUUACUGGGUGUAAAGGGAGCGUAGACGGCGAAGCAAGUCUGAGGUAAAAGGACGGGGCCCAACCCCGGAACUGCUUUGGAUACUGUUUGGCUAGAGUGCGGGAGGGGUAAGCGGAAUUCCUAGUGUAGCGGUGGAAUGCGUAGAUAUUAGGAGGAACACCGGUGGCGAAGGCGGCUUACUGGACCGUAACUGACGUUGAGGCUCGAAGGCGUGGGGAGCAAAC
rnacentral:rRNA from 1 species